CAGUCUCCGCGGUAAUACGAAGGGGGCUAGCGUUGUUCGGAAUUACUGGGCGUAAAGCGCACGCAGGCGGCUCGAUAAAUUAGAAGUGAAAGCCUUGGGCUUAACCUGAGGAUUGCUUUUAAGACUGUCGAGCUAGAAUCCAGAAGAGGGUAGUGGAAUUCCGAGUGUAGAGGUGAAAUUCGUAGAUAUUGGAAAGAACACCGGUGGCGAAGGCGGCAACCUGGUCCUUGACUGACGCUGAGGCGCGAAAGCGUGGGGAGCAAACAGGAUUAGAUACCCGCGUAGUCCCUGUCUCUUAUAC
rnacentral:rRNA from 1 species